rnacentral:rRNA from 1 species
GACGAACCGUGCGAACGUUGUUCGGAAUCACUGGGCUUAAAGGGCGCGUAGGCGGGUGCGCAAGUCCGGGGUGAAAGCCCCCGGCUCAACCGGGGAACAGCUUCGGAUACUGCGCACCUUGAGUGGGGUAGGGGCAGACGGAACUUCCGGUGGAGCGGUGAAAUGCGUUGAUAUCGGAAGGAACGCCGGUGGCGAAAGCGGUCUGCUGAACCCCUCCUGACGCUGAGGCGCGAAAGCCAGGGGAGCGAACGGG